GAAGCCUUCAGUCUCUAUGCACGCAGCAUGCCUUCCCAGCCUCCUGUGGUUGUAGAGUGUAUAGAAGGCAGUUGGAUCACUAUGGACAGCGGGUAAGAGCUGAGGAAGCAGUCUCCGCCAGGUGGUAACAUGGAGGACCCUGAAGGUGAUGCCACUCCUGUGAUGAGUUUUCGGUAAAGAGAGGCAUGCUUCCUCGGCAGGACUCUCAGAUAACCACAGAUAUAAGCAACAUCGGAACAUAAAGUCAAGGGCAAUUAAAUCAAGCAUAUUCCUCAGUAUCAUGGAGAGACUGGAGGUUAGAGACUCCAAAACCAUCCCUGGCUUAAUGACUUUGGGAUCCCUGGGCCCCUCCAUGCAGCAGAACAGCAAUUAACCAAGGUGGGUGACUUUCUUUCUGCUUGUGUUGACAAUUGGAAACAGAAGCAGCUUUUGGGUCUGGGGUAGGAACCAGAACUGAGUUAAUACUUUAGUUUGCCCUGAGAAUAAAAAAAGAAUGAUAGGGCUGAAUGGGGGCUCCCCACUGCCUCUGACUUCCUCAGAUCUUAGGCUGUGUUCCUCUGCCAUGGCUCCUUUAUUCCCGGGCCUCCUUCCAAGUUGUUACUUGUCAUCUGUCACCUGAGUCACCCUGGAGCCUCACAGCUGAUCUUCUGUCUUUUCUUCCUUUGUCACCCAUCCUUUACAUCAGCCAUGGGAAGCUCUCUCUCAGGCACCAGGUAAUCACGAUUCCAACACACAUCCUAUUGCCAGUGGGUUCAACCCGAAAGUCUUUAGUCUGAUGUUCAGUCUCAUCCUUCACUCUUUGUCUUCUGCUCUCUGCUUCCCUACAUCUGCUGGAGCUGACACUGUGCCAAAUCCUGUCCAGGACCUGCUUAUUUCCAUCACUGUCUUUGUUGGGUGUCUCUGCUUGGGACACCUUCCUGUUUCAUCUCCAUCCAAGCUUUGAGAGACUUUGCAGUAUAUUCAUUAAGUGUGUGUAGCGCUGGAAUCAGACUCUUUGAGUUCAUAUUCUGCCUCUGUCACUUACAUGAAAUAAAAUAUAUAAGCUCUUGGCUCAGACCCUGACAUAAAAUAAGUGUUCAAUAACAUAUGCUUGACAGUAUUAUUUCUCCCGCACAUCACUUCUGUUGAAUCCCAGUGUUCACUUCUCUCAGGAAGUCUUUCCUGCGUAACAUUAACCUGGGCCUCCCUGACCCUGCUCACUCACAGGCAAUAAAACCUCCCUUGGAAGCUCGAAUCAGGGCAGGGGUCCUUUCAGCAUGUCUGACCCCAUGGGUGGGUCUGGAAUGACUAGCACUUUCUGAUUCUCUUUGGUCCGGUACAUAUUGAUGAGCCUCCAUUGAACUGCUCUGAAUCAAAGCUUUCUCUUAACAUCAGUCAUGGACCACCCAUCCACCCACCAUCCAUCCAUCCACUCAAUCAUUCAGCGAUAUUUUGAACACUUAUUAUGUGCCAGGAACUGUGCUAUGUGUUGGGUAUACAACGGAGGAAAAGGCAGACUCUGCCCCACCUUCAUGAAGUCAUUGGGCAGUAGGGAGAAAGAUACUCAGAUAGGCAAAUAUGACACAGAGGGGCCAGUGUUCUGAUGAGGGAAGCACAAGGUGCUGAGACAACCUGAAAACCCUAAGGAGAAGCUCUGCAACUGCCUUAGAAGAUCCCUGGAAGCGAUCCAAAGGAAGCAAGUUUAAGCUGAGACCCAAAGAAUAAGAAAGAUGUUAGCCAAGUGGAAGAGAAUUGCUGGUGAAGAGUGUUUUAGUUGAGGAAACUGUGUGUGAAAAGACACAGAGGUGAGAGAGGGAAUGGCAUAGUGGAAAGUUGGGUGGGGUGGUGUGUGUGCCCAUGCACCAUGCAAGUUGUAUGCAUGGGUGCCUGUUGGAGGUGAAGGUGAGACGAGGCGGGAGGGGCAGGCAGGGGCCAGGAUAUGCAGGGACUUACAAACCAUGUGAAAGAGUUUUGACUUGCACAUCACAGCCAUGGAAUAAAUGAGAAAGUGAGUGGGAGUUUCAGUGGGGGAAUGGCAUGAUUAGAUUUAUAAUUUAGAAAAAUCACACUGGCUGCAGUGUGGAGAAUGGAGGGAGGUUGGUUUGUGAGACUCCAUGACAAAGUCGGCUUCAGUUCUUUCCCCAGGCAACCGGGAUCCUGCUUGAGCUUGAGCUCCAGCUGAGGCCCUACUGCCUUGCGUGGUUCUUGCUAGGUCCCCUCCUGAGGGUUGGAUCUGUCUCUAAUUCUCAGCUGUUGACUCAGGUCCUGCUCACAGUGGACAAGUGACCUCCAACCAGGAUCCUGUCACUCCAGGACCCUGAUGGAUACAGAUGGCAAUAGAAAGCCUCUCUGAGGAAGUGACAUUUAAGCUAGACUUUCGGGAUGAGCGGGAGCCAGCCAUGUGAAGAACGGGGGAGGAGAGACACUCCAGGCAGGAGGAAGUCGCGUGUGAAAACUCCAAGGUGGAAAGAGCUCACUGUUGUGUUCAAGGAACAGAGAGAAGGGCAGUGUGUCUAGAGUGCAGCGCUCAGGAGAGACAGCACGAGAUGAGAUUUUCUGAAUUUCAUCCCGAUCACACAGCACACAGCAGAGGAAGUGGUUGGCCUGCUCUCCGGGUCACCUCUCUCCUCAUGCUGGCCCUUACGAAAGAUAAAAAUACCGAUAACUAAUGCUUAUUGAACACUUACUAUGUUUCAGGUAUUGUUUUAAAUAAAUUUAUAUUAAAUAAAUAGUAAUUGUUCUAACUGC